rnacentral:misc_RNA from 1 species
UUAAUUUAUUUGCUUACGCCACUCAGAGAAUACCACAAGGUAGAAAACAAGAGUUUAGGCCUCCGGCGGGCGCCUGAUUCCGGGCACUGGUCCCGGGGCGGUUCCGCCGAAGCAACGAUAGGUAAGGUUCACAUGGGUUUGGGAGUUGUAAACUCGAUAAUGAUCCCUCCGCUGGUUCACCAACGGAGA